rnacentral:rRNA from 1 species
GCGCGGUAAUACGGAAGGUGCGAGCGUUAAUCGGAAUUACUGGGCGUAAAGCGAGCGUAGGCUGUUAAUUAAGUCGAAUGUGAAAUCCCCGGGCUCAACCUGGGAACUGCAUUCGAAACUAUUUAACUAGAGUAUGGGAGAGGAAAGUAGAAUUUCCGGUGUAGCGGUGAAAUGCGUAGAUAUCGGAAGGAAUACCAGUGGCGAAGGCGGCUUUCUGGAACAAUACUGACGCUGAGGUUCGAAAGCGUGGGGAGCAAACAGGAUUAGAUACCCUGGUAGUCCACGCCGUAAACGAUGAGAACUAGAUGUUGGGAGGAUUGGCCUCUCAGUGUCGCAGCUAACGCAAUAAGUUCUCCGCCUGGGGAGUACGACCGCAAGGUUGAAACUCAAAGGAAUUGGCGGGGGAGCACGGUCAUACUUGUUUUCCUGA